UUUAACAUCCUUGUUUAGCAGGACUAGCAUCAGUCAAUGAGCUUCUAUUUGUUUGUUGUCCUGUUACAAUAGGACCCCAAGACUCUGGAGUACUGCCUGAGCCUCUUGGACCUGCAGCGUGUUCCUGACAGGACUACCUAAAUUCUCAGCACUGUCCUUAACAAGUCCGCUCUGAUCAGCUCUUCAUGUUUUCAAGAGAAGUUUAAUAGAAAAGCAUUUGCAACUUGAAAGAAACAAUGUCCAGAAAAUGACAGAGAAAGAAGAUGAUGAAAUAUUAAACCUGAUUAUGUUUGUCAAUAAUAUUUAUACCACAGGACCAAGAAAUUCAGGCAAGAAAAGCAAAAUGCACAUUGAACUGGUCAGAUAGCUCCAGGAUUAUGAAUUUUGCCCAGCUCAGCAUCAAUUUAAUUAGUUAUGGGAGCAAACAGAAAUUGGUCAGACAGAAGUCUAAUAAAGCAUAUUGAACUAGAGGAGACCUUCAGAGAAUGACAAGAGACCUCUCCUUGGUGAUUAAUUAGUUCAGGUUUUCUGGGCUUCUUUUUAGUGUGAAUGUAAAUUACUUUGCAGAAGAGUAGCAAGGAGCUCUUACAAAACUCGUGAGUGCUGUUGUCUUUGAGAUUUGGUUAGAACUUUGAGUUUUAACAGGAGCAUGGAUUAUGAGGAUAGCCUAUGGUGUGGAGCAUCUCCAAGCAAUAAAAAAGUUAAGGUCAAGAGUGCCUACAGUAUCUACUGAUACUUGUAUCUCCUUUGGGAGCAACUAGUAACAGUUACUCCAGCAGGUCUUCCUAUUCAAAACCAACAUGUAAAGUAUCCAGGUAUCUCAUUUCCAUAUUUUCUAAACAGAAAAACAGUAUUGGUUAGUGGAUAAGCCCAUCCACAUGGCAUCAAUUACAGCACACCUUUGCAGCUUUAUUUUGUUAUAGGGUGGAGAUCUUGUUCCUCUAUGCUAAAAGCCAUUGAGGGGGAGCUGUAGACUUGGUUUUGCCUUGAACAUGCAAGUGAAGUGAAAUUGAAAGUGAUGAAACCCUCAAGCUAUGUGUGUCUACAGUCAGCUCCAGACCUUCCCCUAGGAAAGAAGAAAACAAAGAUGUCUUUGUACUGGAUGAUCCUCCUUCAGUCACAGCAAGAAGCAGGUACCACUCCUGAAUCUGGAGGAACAAAAGCACAGGUGUUGCUCUGCUCCAGUCUCUGUAGCAGUACUUACAGACCUGAUUACAACAUGCCGGAGAGUUGUUAUGACCUAGAGCCCUGGGAAAAUCAUGUGGAAGAAAUGGCUUGAAGAACAGACAAGGAAACCCAGAUAUUGACAUCUGAAAAGCAAAGUUUGGACUGCACAUCAUUGCAAGGCUGCCAAAGAGCCUUCAGAGCACAGUGAUGUCCUGUUACUACCAGCCUCGAGGAGAUCUGAGCCAGCGCUCUGGAGGUAAUAGAGCUACACACCCAUUUGUUUCUCAGUUUCUGGGAGGCUGUAAUGGAGAAAACAAUCGCUGAAGAGCAAAGGCAGUCACCAUUGCUUAUAAAUUAAUCAUAUAAAAGCACCUAGAAUUCCUGAUGCUCAGUCCUGUUGUGAAUACUAGAAAGCAUUUCCAUCCCCUGAAGUCUCUAAUUCUUGAGAACUGCUACUCUCCUGAGGCUUGGAAAAAAAGGGAAAGAGGAGGAAUGUGUAUUAGACGGCUCUGUCCUUUACUGAGUGUGUUCCUUUUAAAAACGAAUGAAGACAGGCUUACAGAGCCUAUUAGUUGUUCCACGUACACAUUCAUUGGGAAGGGAAUUAGUUUCUGGCUAGCGCACAGCCACUGGGUGAUACAAAGGAAAGACUCCUUUAAUCUUCUGUGGCAGUAUAGCGGUGUCCAAGCUUGUCAGAAGCUGCAGGAGAGUGAUGGCCCUGGUGCUGACAGCCUUCUAAUUGGGUACUAGAAGGGAUCAGCAGAAAGCAGCUAUAAAAGCUGUGUUUGUGCCAAACGUGUGGCCAAUGUAAAGA